GGAUUGAAGAUGACACCCUUGUAUGAAUUCCUUGGAAAAUCUGAAUUAAAUGAGUGACAACACUCUACUGUCUCCUCAUUGAAACUGAGGUCC
rnacentral:snoRNA from 1 species